rnacentral:rRNA from 1 species
GAUGAACGCUGGCGGCGCGCCUAACACAUGCAAGUCGAACGGUUAAAGCACCUUCGGGUGUGUAUAAAGUGGCGAACGGCUGAGUAACACGUGGGCAACCUGCCCCUCGCACCGGGAUAGCCUCGGGAAACCGUGGUUAAUACCGGAUACUCCGGGACCCCCGCAUGGGGGUGCCGGGAAAGCCCUGACGGCGAGGGAUGGGCCCGCGGCCUGUUAGCUUGUUGGCGGGGUAACGGCCCACCAAGGCGAUUAUGGGUAGCCGACCUGAGAGGGCGAACGGCCACAUUGGGACUGAGACACGGCCCAA